UGUGUGUUAGUGGAAGCGUCUGGAAAGGCGCGCGAUACAGGGUGACAGCCCCGUACACAAAAAUGCACAUGCUGUGAGCUCGAUGAGUAGGGCGGGACACGUGGUAUCCUGUCUGAAUAUGGGGGGACCAUCCUCCAAGGCUAAAUACUCCUGACUGACCGAUAGUGAACCAGUACCGUGAGGGAAAGGCGAAAAGAACCCCGGCGAGGGGAGUGAAAAAGAACCUGAAACCGUGUACGUACAAGCAGUGGGAGCACGCUUAGGCGUGUGACUGCGUACCUUUUGUAUAAUGGGUCAGCGACUUAUAUUCUGUAGCAAGGUUAACCGAAUAGGGGAGCCGAAGGGAAACCGAGUCUUAACUGGGCGUUAAGUUGCAGGGUAUAGACCCGAAACCCGGUGAUCUAGCCAUGGGCAGGUUGAAGGUUGGGUAACACUAACUGGAGGACCGAACCGACUAAUGUUGAAAAAUUAGCGGAUGACUUGUGGCUGGGGGUGAAAGGCCAAUCAAACCGGGAGAUAGCUGGUUCUCCCCGAAAGCUAUUUAGGUAGCGCCUCGUGAAUUCAUCUCCGGGGGUAGAGCACUGUUUCGGCAAGGGGGUCAUCCCGACUUACCAACCCGAUGCAAACUGCGAAUACCGGAGAAUGUUAUCACGGGAGACACACGGCGGGUGCUAACGUCCGUCGUGAAGAGGGAAACAACCCAGACCGCCAGCUAAGGUCCCAAAGUCAUGGUUAAGUGGGAAACGAUGUGGGAAGGCCCAGACAGCCAGGAUGUUGGCUUAGAAGCAGCCAUCAUUUAAAGAAAGCGUAAUAGCUCACUGGUCGAGUCGGCCUGCGCGGAAGAUGUAACGGGG
rnacentral:rRNA from 1 species